GUUGAACGCUGGCGGCAUGCCUUACACAUGCAAGUCGAACGGCAGCACGGGAGCUUGCUCCUGGUGGCGAGUGGCGAACGGGUGAGUAAUAUAUCGGAACGUACCCUAGAGUGGGGAUAACGCAGCGAAAGUUGCGCUAAUACCGCAUACGAUCUACGGAUGAAAGCGGGGGAUCGCAAGACCUCGCGCGAUUGGAGCGGCCGAUAUCAGAUUAGGUAGUUGGUGAGGUAAAGGCUCACCAAGCCGACGAUCUGUAGCUGGUCUGAGAGGACGACCAGCCACACUGGGACUGAGACACGGCCCAGACUCCUACGGGAGGCAGCAGUGGGGAAUUUUGGACAAUGGGCGCAAGCCUGAUCCAGCAAUGCCGCGUGCAGGAUGAAGGCC
rnacentral:rRNA from 1 species